ACUGGACUAAGGAUAAGGUCUAGAACCUGAGUUCUAGAACUCACCCUGCCAUUGAGAAGUUGAGUAACCAUUUUUACAGAGUCUUAACCUCUCUGGGCCUAAAUUUCCCUGUCUAUAAAAUUAGUAAGUUGACUAAAUGGGUUCUGAGUUUAGCAUUUAGGAUUUGUUGAUUCCAUGACUAGAGUAGUUUUAACCAUUUUUAGCUUAAUUUAGAUAACAACAAAAACAGCAAUGUUUGGAUGGUAUAUUUGUCUUUCCAAAAUAUUUUUGUCCACUUUAAAAAUUUAUCAAGAUUCUCUUAUCCUUCAUUAUUUCCUCUCAUAGUCUGGUUUUGUUUGUUGUGCUUGGUUUUAAUGACCUACCAGUUUUGAAAAUACUACCUGCCCUGUAUUUUCUUGUUACAUUGUUUUUAUUUGGCCAACAUUUCAUAUCUCUUGUGUUUUUAGUCACCUUGUUGUAUGCGUUUGGAACUUCGGCCUCUUAUUCAGUUGGGGAGUGGAACUGGACUUCUUUCUUUCUUUCUUUUUAAGUUUAUUUAUUUUAAGAGAGAGAGACAGAGUGAGCAAGCAUGAGUGGGGGAGAGGCAGAGAGAGCGGGAGAGAGAGAAUCUCAAGCUGACAGCGCAGAGCCCAACACAGGGCUGGAUCCCACUAACCAUGAGAUCAUGACUUGAGCCGAAAUCAAGAGUCAGAAGCUUAAAUGACUGAGCCACCCAGGGGCCCCUGGACCUGGACCUCUUAUUAGAUCAGGCGGUGAUAUGUUUAAACUGUUAGUGAUUUCUUGGCUGUAACUAUAAAGAAAACUUUCUUAAAAGGAAAAACCUUUAAGAGUCUAAUAAUGAGGAGGUUACUCCAGGGAAAACAAAACAAAACCUUAUAAUGAAAGAAAAAUACCAGAAAGAGCAGGAAAAAAUGAAAACAUCUAUUCCUAAUUCUGAUCAAAAGAGAAUACUAAUCAUUUUGCUCAAAUUGUAUUUUUCUAUCCUAUUCUACCCACUUCUCUAAACCCCUCUCUCCUUUUAGGACCUGGCCCGAGAUCUAGCGUUCCUGUGAAUCUACUCAUGAACCUUUCACUCUUUGCUGAUUCCUCUUUCCCCUGAAUUCCUCUGGCCUCCUACCAUUUCUUCCAAAAUAAAUAAAUAAAUAAAUAAAUAAAUAAAAUAAAUAAAUUACCAUUUGUAUCAAGGCAAAAUUUAUUCCUCUUUCACAGUGAAACUAGAAAUCAAGCUAAAAUGGAUGAAACACAUCUUCUGGGAAAGGGCUCAUUCUAAGGAAGAGUAAGUAAAUGACUUUCUAAAGACAUUUCAGAAUCCAUUGUCCUAGUCAAGGUCCUUAGAUGAUAGAACUGAAAGUCUACCUGUAACUAAAGAUGAAACCCAUUCACUGAGCUCUAAUAAAUGCUCCUCAACCAGUACCCCAUUUAGUUUUUAUGUAUCUUCGGUCCUGCAAUAUUAGUGACUUCAGUUCUGCUCCCUUGCUUUCUUUGUGACUAAUCUCACAGUCGCAUCAACUAGUUGAGUAACCUCUUUUGCAGACUCUUAAACUCUCUAGGCUUCAAUUUCCCUGUCUAUAAAAUUAGUGGGUUGACCAGAUGUAUUCUGAGCUCAGCCUGGACCUGUGGAUCAGCUUUGUUUUCCUCCUAGGCUUACACUUCAAACCUAUGCUUUCCUACUCAAUCAGUUAUCUACCUAAAUAUCAGAAUGGACAUUAUAUUCUGUCAUUGUUUUGUGCUUAAUACUAUGUGGUGCUUGUGCAACCCACGUCCUGUUGGCAGACAAGUGAUUAUUAAGACACUUUUCAAAUGCCAAGGAGAAAGUGACUCUACCAACUAAAGAGAUUUAAAAAUGUUUCCCCAACUGCUUUGGUGCAUAGUGUGUUGCUUGUGAGGGGGUAUGCAGUCUCUAAAGGAAAAACAAGUCCUAGAUACUUGGGUUGUAGAGACAUUUCCCAAAUAUUCAAAGUGUUUGGGAAAGAAGGGUCUCUUUGGUCCAAUAAGUCUAGGAAAUGUUGUAAACUAUGCCCAUCACUAUUGGACAUUUUCAUUGUUGUAUACAUUAAAGGUCAGAAAAUUCUGGCAGUAAUGAAACUUUAGCUUUGUUGAAAUCUGAAAUGUCCCAAAAUAUAUACAAUGGGAAAAAUUUGGGUUAGAGAGCCAGAACAUUUCAGCAUCUCAAAAUACCAACAAAACAAAUAUUAUCUGAGAAGCAUGCAAUAAUUAAAGAGUCAUCUUCGAUUAAGCACCUAAGCAAAGUCUAAGGAUAUCUUUUCAGGUACUGGUCAAAUGAGUUACUAAAAUUCUAUAAAAGUCCAAAUAGAUUCUAACGAAGACCAUAGUCAACACUUCACUUUUUUUUUUUUUUUUUUUUUGGUCUCCAAGAGGGCGGAAGAAGCACUUUCUAAAGCAUCAGAAUCAUUGUUCCACAAUCUGUUUGUAUCAAAAUUACCCAGGGUGCUUUGGUUCCACUCCAUUCCUACAAAUUCUGAAUUUUUGUGCUCAGGAAUAGCAUUUUUUAUAAAUUCAGUAUUCAAUUCUAAUGCACAAUGAAGUUUAAGAACCACUGGUGUAGAUGAUAGUACAGAGCCGUUUAAUUGAUAUACAGCUAAUAAGCCUGCUAACGCUACAUGCAGAUGGCUGAAAUAGUGUUUAAAAUGGUGGUUACAACGGGCGCUUGGGUGGCUCAGUUGGUUGAGCAUCAGACUCUGGAUUUGGGCUCAGGGCACGAGCUCACGGUUCAUGAAAUGGAGCCCCUCAAUGGGCUCUGUGCUGACUGUGCUUGGGAUCUGUCUCUCUCUCUCUCUUUCUCUCUCUCUCUGCCCCUUCCCCACUUUUAUUCACUCUCUCAAAAUAAACUUAAAAAAAAAUACAUCGGUGGUUACCUAUUUCAAUUAGACUAAAAAAUUUUUUUUAACAUCAUAAUGUAGCUGAAACACUAGUGGUUAGAAGAACGUACUGAUGGUGUUCAGGGGAAUGGCAUGGAAGGGUCAGCGUUUAUACACAUGCGGUUAGAGUGGACACGAGUGGGCACCCUGCUUCACAAACAUUGGUUCUGACCACAGGCUUAGUUGAAAUCUGGGAACUUGUAGAUAGUGGGAGGAUUAGAAUUGUGGAAUUUUUUUCUUUAAAAUGGUUUUGACUGUUUGGUAAUUAAAUGGUUAAUAUGGAUUUAGAAAUAGCUCCUGGAAGACAGAGAAGAAACCACAAUUGGUCUUCUUUGACUUUACUCCUAUUUUCUUCAUAUCCUCUCAAUACAACACAGACACAUUCCUCUAUAGAAGUUGUUUUAGAGUGAGAAAGCAAAAUAACUUUCCUGGGUAGGAACACUUGAAAUCAUUCACCUCUGAGACGUGACUUUGUGUUGUCUUAUGGGAAGUUACACAGGGACUAAUCCAAAAGGGACUUUCCUGAGAUGGCUUGGAUAGAUAAGGAAAAACAGUGUUUGAACGCAGAGCAACUUUAUUCUCUUUCCCAAAGAUCCAAAAACACUUGAGGGAUUCCAAUCUUGCACUUUGGAACUGGGUAGAUAUUUUCAAGGUAUUAUUUGGGUUAUUUUAUUCUUUAUGCUGGGUGGGCCAAGUGCGCCAUUUGAAUGUGUCUUUUAGCCCUUCUUGAAAUCAUUGCCAGCAGUAGGUUUAAAGCACCAUAGUCAUAUCCCACGCAUUGGCAUAUUUGGGGGGUUAUAGAUAGCUCGUUAUUGGAGUCCGAACCCCGCACUGACUCCAGCGCCCAUGAGUUUUCACUUUGCCACGUUAUCUUCCAGAAAUGAAUAAGACAUUACAGCUUCUCCUGAUAGAUUCUCUACCUUCCUUGGGAAGCAGGUAUAUAAACAAAUGAUUGCUUCAGAAGAUCGAAUGGAGGACUAAGAAAGGUGAUGCCAACUCUACCUGGGCAUGUCAGGGAAGGUACCGUAUAAGAGGUGGUAUUUGUGGUGUCACAGUGGAAUUCACCAAGGAAGACAGGCAGGGGGGCUAUCCUGGGUAUAGUAACAUGCUUCCACCAGUAGCUAAAAGCUUAACCCAUUCGCUCUUUUUUCACAGCCAUUUCUGGUAUAAAAUCCCUCCCAACAACUUUCCUGUGCCUGUUCUUAGCACUUCUUCUAUAUAACAAUUAGAUUAAACGUCUGUUUUUCUCUCCAUACCUACAGCUCCUUAACCAAAGGUCCAUAAUGACUUAUUUAUCUUUGUGUACCUAACGCAGUACCUUAUAAGGACUAGGCAUUCAUAAAUAUUUGCUGAAUCAAUAAGCGAAUGAGAGUAAACAUGUUUUCUGCAAUGUUUGACAUUCUAUAAUUGAUUGAUUUCUAAAGAGUUUUGUUAAUAAAAAAUAUUUCAUGUAGUAAUAGAACGUACUAAGUGAUCUAAUUGGUGAUCAUUUCAUGUACAAACCAUCUCUAUAUAUUUUGUUUAAAUCCAGAUUCCACUAGCUUUGCUUUAAACAAUUUCUCUUUCAUUCAUUUACUCACUCAUUCCUCCUUGUAACAAGUAUUUACUGAGUACCUAGCAUGUGCCACCCACUAUCUUAGAUGCUAGGCAUCCAAUGGCAUCUGAAUGUACACACAAUCCCUGUUCUUGAUCGAAAAAAGCUAGCCGGGAAGACAUGCAUUAACCACAUAAUGGCAAAAAGGAAAUGCACACUCUCAAAUGCUGCUAAAUGCUAGGAAGGAAAGAUACAUGGUACAAUCGAAAUAGAAAACAAGAAGACCUUAUGUAGGGUUGGGCUAAGAAAAUGCCAUUUGGAUUGUAAGCUAAAUACUAAGUUAAGUGCCCAAAGGGCUGAAUGGGUAAGGAUUUCUAGGUAGAGGAAAUAGGAUGUAUGUGGGCUUUGUGGGGGAUGGAACGCAUGGUGUGUUCAAACAAAGGAAAGAGAAGAUCAGAAUGAUUGGCAAUUAGGCAGUACUCAUUGUGGUGCUGAUAGGGGCAGAGAGUUCAGAAAAGGGGUGUUGUGGGCAAGAGUGAUGGGAGAUAAAGCUGGGAAGACUGGUUAGGGUUAGACCAUUAGGGCCUGAAAGACCAUGUUAAGAAUUUUGGUUUUGCCCUAAGAGCAGUGGGAAACCAUUGGAGAGAGAGGGUAGGUGAGCAACAUGUUGAAAAGUUUGCUUUAGCUCUUUUGCGGGGAAGUGGCUAAACACAAUUAUAGCAAGGGAAGUUUAAGGAGACCCUGAAGGAAGCUAUUACAGUAAUAGCCAAAAAUGAGAUGUGGCUUUUAGUAAAGGUUGGAGGAAGUGUCCCUUUUUAGGAACACCUCAAAGAAAAGUCAUGCAUGCAUUAGAACACAACUACUUGCCUAAUCCUUUCAGGAUUUUCUUUUCCAAUUUUUGCUCUUUAUUACUGACAGCCUCUUUGGCUGUGGCUGGCUCUCCAGAAGCUGUGGGUUCUCUCUCGAUCUCUUCAGUGGCCUCAUCACAGUCCCUGUCCUCAUGGUCGGGUGGUUCUGUGUUCUCAGGCUGCUCCUUUGCUUUGGUGGGACCCUCUUUUUCAGUAGCAGACCCAUAUGUAUUGAUGAUGUCUUCCAGUUGUCGGUUCAGCUCCUCAGAGAUAUCAUGAGCUCCCUGUUCAGUCUGCAUACCUGCCUUCCCCUCUGGUGCUUGGAGUAGGGUUGAGGAAUCCUUCUCAUCUUGCUUCUCCAGACCAUUUUGAGUGGGUAAUGAAUUGUCCCCUGGAGGUGUUGAUUGGGGUUCCCCCGAGAGCUGUACAGACUGAUUCAUCUCCAUACUGGGAGCAGUAUCUAGUGGUAAGCAUAGUCAGGUUUUAUGUAGUUAAUACAGUUACAUGUAAAAUGUAAGGGUAUCCCCACAAGGGCACCUACUGAUUACAGUUUCUAACAUAGAAUGAAUGUACUUUGACAAGACAUCGAUAUUGCAGUUAGUUAAGGUAGAAACAGUGGGGAGCCAUUUUUCCAAAGUGGGUCAUACUACUAGCAUAUUUUUGGUUUUGGUCUUUAAGUUCCAGAAGAAAUUCCUAUUAUUGACACUAAUGGAGUAAUUCAAGAUAUUGUUUUUCAGGUUGUGUUUGUCAUGUUGCUUAAGCCAAUUUGUGCUACCUCUCUCUGAUAUUAUUCUAUACAGCCUUACAAUCAUUGGAAGGACAUGAAUGUCUACAUUAAAAAUGUUUAAAGUGGUGUUAUUUUUUCAAAGUUAAGACAUUUAAUACAAGAGCCACUGAACUUACUAAAAUCAUUCAUAACAAUUGUAGUCCUAAACUCUGUUUUAACCCAUAAGUGAAGAGUUGAUAAAUAUGAGUACAUUGAUGUAAAUGAAUUAUUAUACUGCAUACAGGAAAUACUUUCUGGCUUUUCUGGUAUUUUCCUUUUCCCAGAUGAGCAACACGUAAUUAUCCAUCAGGAAGACACUUUUUCUGAGGUUCAAACUAGCUUCAUUUCUGGAAUAAGAUGGAGAAUGAAGGAGGGUAUAAAUUAACCAACAGACUAAUAUGGGACCAUGGUGAUGGUCAUGAUAACAAUUUCUUGAAUUUCCAUAACACUUUUUUGUUCCAAUGUAAAAACAGGCUUUCUUUUAGAAAAAAAAAAACAGAUUGCAAAUCUUUUCUCUCAGUCAAGAAGCUCUAGGAUAACUUCAUAAUUUUUAGGAAAUAGCAAUGUUCCCAAUAUUAUUGGGAAAUAAUCGACAUAUAAUAGGGGCUGUUUGGAAAUAGGUGCUGAAGUACAAGUUGAGUCAAGAAUUCCAGGGUUUCUGGAUAUCACCGUUUCUAGGUUACAGUGGAAUUGACUUAGGCCUUUAAGUUACGGUGCAUUUUAUUUGUCAAUGGUAUUUAAUGGUGAUGCUGCUAAUUCUUAGCAUAAAAAUAUGACAGGGUCCUCCUAGGGCAUAGGUUCUGCUGUGGUGGGGGGAUGAGAGCAAAAACAAAAGCAUACUGUUCCAUGCCUUGCACAGCUUCCUCCUCUUGUUCUCAGGGAAGGGCAGGUCAAGUGCUUGAGCACCAACAAGCACGAAAAAUUCAACCUACAGUCAUUGUCACCUACUUAUGGCCCUCAUCAAGUACUCCUUAAUUUCGAAAGAAACACUUUUUUCUUGUAUCCACUUUAAUUCACCAACUUGAUUAUCAAAUGAUACAGUAAACAGCCUUAAUGUUUCCAUCACCGGCAUUUUUUUGUGUCCUGACCCCUACUUGUUGGGCACACUCAUCUAUAUAUAACUCCUGCCUCCCCUAAACUCCAAGAAAGACACACAGCACCCGCUGUCCAGCCAGAAGUUAUUUUAAGCUCUUCUAAAAGUAGCCGUGGCAUCUGGCACUUCUUUGAAAAUCAAGGGAAGCGAAUCCUUUUUAAAUCAAAACUAAAAGCAGUAAACAUUUACUGGCUUAAAUACAUAUGUGAGUUUUAACGUGUUAGGGAGGCUUCUUGGGAUGAAAUAAAAUCUAAAGUAAACCCAACUUCAAAGCAAUGAAUUUAAAACUGUUCACAGGAGUUUUAAUACGGUUAGUCUAAAUGCAAAAGUUUGGUUGUAUUUGAUUUAUUCUUCAUUCCUCAGAGGCCACAGUCAUUGAUGUUUUUAAUAUUAAUUCCAUGGAUAUCCCUUAAACUCAUAUCCCACAUUUACUUUAAAACAGAGUUGACUGAGUCAUUGUAAACCACGAGACAACUCAAUUCCUAAAAGUAGCCUCAGGAUAAAUCAACAAGAAGGGGGAAAAAAAAACAAAUUCAAGAAACUCUGCUACUUUUAAAUUGUCCCUUUCACUAUGAAUAACUUGACAGCAAGAAAUUAUUUCUAAAUUUUAUCUUCUUAAUAAACUUUAUUGCCUCGUUUUCUUUAUUUUUUUCUCCUCUAAGAAUUUUUCACUUGUAUUGGUAGUCCAGCCAAUUAUCACACGCAUCCCUUUCUGAGCAACACAUUUCAAUUAUAAAUAAAACAAUGGAAAGUUCUUCCACAGUUCACUGGCAGCCUCAAAGUUGCAAGUUUUGAACACCACAAACCGCACCCUCCAGCUUCUCACAGGGCUUGGGGGGAGCAUUUGUCGCACUUACCAGAAGGCAAGGAGCUAAGCAGAAAGAGAAGAGGCAAAAAGCAGCAAAAAGCUAGUGAGAGGAGCCCCGACAGCAGGAGACAGGCAGGCAGGCGGCUGUGUUCUUACAAGGGAGAGAGAAACCACACACACACACACACACACACACAUACACACACACACCACAGGCACAGCAGGAGAGCAGCGAGGGGGUGGGGAGGGAAAGGAACAGCGUGUGACACAGCAAGAGAGAAAUACACCCAAGUUUCAGUAGCUGCCUCCUGGGCAAACGUCUUGAGAAAAGAGAAGCAGUUGGUAUAUCUUAUCAAACUCUCUGUGUUUUGUCCUUAAAAAAAUUUAACUCUCACUAGAUGCCCCUCUGUUAGAGCGAUUUUUCACCCGUGUUCUUUCGGGCAGAGAUCAGUUUUUCUUAUUUCUGGGUUUAUCUCCAGUGUGGUCUAUGAAUCAUCUUACUUUUUUUUUCCUUCUUAUGCUAGUCUAAUUAGUGUCAGAUUUCUUAUGGGAAUCAUGGGGGGGGGGCGGGGGGACAAUGGCAUAACAAAAAGGAGGUGGUAGAACUCCUUAAAUCCUGAUGUCAUUGGUUGGUUUGUAAAAUUUGAAAUAAAAAUCGAAGUGGUGUCCUGGAGCUGGGUUUAGUGGCAUCUUCAUGUACACAGUAAUUGGCGUGGCCUCACAUCCCACGUCUUACUGACGUCACUGCCUUCACAUCUAUUUUAGAUAAGCCCUAUGGGGAGGCAGUCACUUUUUCUUUUUGAGUUGGAGACUUUUCCACUGCUGCUUUCCCAAGUUUUUCCACCCUUCUUAGGUCUUCAACCUGCUCCGUAACCCUCCUCAGAGAAAGAACCUUCUGCCUCUUUCUCUUGACUUACAACCAUGCCCUUUAUUUUCUGUUUCUGGAGAAUGUGUUCCUCCAUUAGAGUUUCUGUUCUGGGACUGGGUGGGCAUAAUGACACCUGUCGUGGUAUGCAGAAUAGUGCCACCAGAAAGAUGUCCACAUCCUAAUCCCAGAAACUCUGUGAAUUCGUUACUUUGCAAGGUGAAAGAGACUUUGCAGGUGUGAUUAAAUUAAGGAUCUUGAGAUGGGGGAAUUAUCCAGAAUUAUCUGGGUGGGCCCAAUGUAAUCACAAGGGUCCUUAUAACAAAAGAAAGAAGCAGGAGGGUCAGUGUCAGAAAAAGACACCAAAAGAGGUCAUAGUGCUGUGGGGCCACAAACCAAGGGAUUUGGGAAGCUUCUCGGAGCUGGGGAAGGCAAAGAAAUGGAUUGUUCUCUAGAUCCUCCAGAAGGAAUGCAAUUCUGCAGACACCUGAUUUUAGCUUGGUAAAAUUCAUUGUGGAGUCCUGACCUCCAGAACUAUAAAAUAAUAAAUUUGUAUUGUUUCAGUGCUAUCAGAUUCAUGGUAAAUUGUUACCUUAGUAAAGGAAAACUAAAAUAUCCUGCCCCCAUUUUCUCACCCCCUUCUCUGAGUUCAGGGGAGGAGGCAUAAGUUAUAUAUCAGAUGAGUGUUCCCAACAAAUAGGGGUCAGGAUAAAGAAAUUACAAUAAUGAAGACAAUAAGCUGUUUACUGCAUCAUUUGAUGAUAAGGUUGGUAAAUUAAAAUGGGUGGGAGAAAAAAAGUACCUCUUUCUAAAUUAAUGUGUUCUUGGUGAGGACCUAGAACUGGGCGGCAUACCAUACUGGAUUGCAUUAAACUGACCCAGUUAGAAUUCUCAGUGAGUAUAAACAGUAAGUCAGUGCUUCUCAAAUUUAAGUAAUGCACAUAUUUUUUAACAGAAUUUUUAAUAAUGAAAUUAAUUUAAAGGAAAAAAAAGAACUCACCGUGAUUGAACUAAGUUACUGUAUUAUCAUUUGUAGCAGUAUGUACUAAUAUAAAAGUAGAUAUAAACAUCUGCUGCUUAUAAUUAUUAUAUGGUACCAAUUUUAAAAACAUCAUUUAAAGAACCCUAUGAGAUGAACAAGUAUAAUUCAAAUGAAAAUAUUACUUUUAUGUGGCAGAUGGUAUUUUGCUGAACCCAAAUUGCCACUUGCAACACAAAUAUGGUACUGCCUGCUGGUCCUAUUGAGUUCAUGACACUCUUCUACAAUGUGCCUGAGAAAUGACUCAAUUUAUUCAACACUUGGUCCAUUCAAAUUAUUACAUAAGUUUCAUUGACCUUAACUGCCAUAAUUUCAGUUGGACUUCCUUUGAUUCUAACAUCAUUUAUAGCUGUUUCUCACUUUCUUUUUCUUUUUAAAGAUUUACUUUCUUUUCGUAUAUAUUGAGAGAGCACACGAGAGGGGGAGAGGGGCAGAAAGAGAGACAGAGAGAGAAAGAGAGAGGGACAAUCUUAAGCAAGCUCCACACUCAGCACAGAGCCUGAUGCAGGGCUUGAUCCCAUGACCCUGGGAUCGUAACCUGAGCCAAAAUCAAGAGUCAGAUGUUCAACCAACUGAGCCACUCAGGCGCCCCUCAUUUUCUUGCAAUUAUUAAAGUAGUGCUACUUAUAUACCCUCACCUGGGCCAUAACCCUAACCCUAAGAUCUGAGAAAACCCUAACCCUAGAUCUGAGAAAAAAUAAAAAAUAAAAAAGAACGGAAUAUUACUCAGCCAUAAAAAAUAAUGAAAUCUAGUUAUUUGCAAUUACAUGGAUGGAGCUAGAGAGUAUUAUGCUGAGCUAAAUAAGUCAGUCAGUAUAUUAUUUCACUCAUUGGUGGAAUUUAAGAAACAAAACACAUAGGCACAGUGGAAAAAAAAAAAAGAAAGGGAGAGGCAAACCAAGAAACAGACUCUUAACUAUGGAGAACAAACUGAUGGUUACCAAGGAGAUGUGGGUGGUGGGGGGAUUGGGUCACAUAGGUGAUGAGGAUUAAAGAGUGCACUUGUGAUGAGCAAGGGCGUUGUAUGGAAGUUUUAAAUGACAAUAUCAUAUACCUGAAACUAAUAUUACACUCUAUGUUAAUGAAAUGGAAUUCAAAUAAAAACUUAAAAAAAAAACGUAGUGCUACUUGGAGCUAAGUUGAUUAGAUGUGCACAUAAUAGAAUAGUGAUGGCACCAAAAUGACAGUUAUCCAGACGAUCCAGAAUAGGCUUAUACAUUUUCAAUUAUUAUUGAAAUGUAUACAAACACACAAACUUGUAGCUCUCUAGAAUCCUUCUGUGGCCUGGUAGAGGCCCAAAGAACUGGGAAGGUAAAGAAAACAAAUCAAUAGAGCUGAGUGUUUUAUAAUAAAAUAAACCUUUGAGCUAUUGUAAGGAAUAUAUAUUUUUUGAAAAUAACAUUUUAAUUUUUAUGCAAAUAUUACAAGAAAAUUGGAAGUCACUGAUGGUAAGUUUACCACAAGAAAAAAUAAUCCCUUGUCCUCCUCCUCACCCUGUUCCUCCAACCUUGUCAUAUUCCCCAGGGGUAAUAAUAUUAAACUGUUGCAGGUAUUUCCCCAGUAGUUUACUUUCUCAUUUAUAAAUAAGAUGCUGAUAUUGCUGUCAACUCAUCAGUUUUUGACAUUACCUAUUGUCUUCCCAUAAUAAUAGAUAAAGAUUUUAGCUAUACCCCCUUUUCCUCAUUUUCUUCAUUAAAUUACAACUCAAUUUUUAAUUCAUAUUCUAUAUUUUCAUUAUUGAAAUAAUGUUCAUUGCUAAAUUGGGUAAAGCACUGACUAUAAAUAAUUCCAUACUUUUGUAACUUUUUGUUUUUCCUGGAGUUAAUGAUUACUUUUUCUUUUCAUUUGCUUAGUAUUGAGGCUAUUCUGUUUUCCCAAACUGCACAAAAGUUCUGUAAAAUGCUUGCUAUGCAAUUUUCCACAAGAUAUAAUCUAUCAGAUAAUUUAUACAUUCUAGUAUUUUCUUGAAGAUAUCACCCCCAUAUACAAACAUCCCCAGAGCGUUGACUUUCUGCUAUGGUCUGGUUUGGUGACUUUCUCGGCCUGCUGCACAGCUGUGGUCCUAACACUUCCCCUGAUGUCAUCCUGGGAAUUCCUUUACCUUUCUCUUGUUUCCUGAUUCCCAUUCUUCCUCUUUCUUGGUGUACUUCCUCAUUUAGUAAAACAUGCUGUCUGUUGGCUUUCUGAGAAAGCAUUUAUGGGGGACUUUGUACGUCUCAAAUGCUUUUUCUCUACCCUUAUACUUACUUGAUUGCUUGGCUGGAUGUAAACUUUUUUACAGAACGUAAAAAAUUUUUUUUGAUAAAACUUUUUUACAUAUCUAUUGAAUUUUUAAAGGCAUUAUUCCCUUGUCUUUUAGGUUUCAUUUUUUUUUUUCUUAAAGGGUAAGGUCAUUUUUAUUUUUGAUCUCUUGUAUGAUCUUUUUUUCUUUUUUUUCUUUUCCUUCCCUUUGUGGAACCUUUAGAAUCUUCUCUUUAUCCUUUAUAUCCUGAAGUUUCACAAUGAUAAAAUUUGAUGUGCAUUUUCCCCCAUUUAUUGUGUUGGAUGCUUAAUGGUUUUUAAAUCUAGAGACUUACAGCUUUAACUUCCUUCCCACUUUAUCAUUGUUGCUCACCCACUUCCUCCUCUGGGCCUCAUAACUCUGAGUGUAGUCUUUCUGGUGAAGCUUCCCCAGAGAACAAUCCUCAGGUAUCCUGAAAGGAUGGAGAGAGGUGACUUUACUUUUUUAGGUGCGACUGGGGACGCUUGGGUCUGACCAUUCUCCUAAUUAAAAACCAACAACCAAAACCCAAUCCAUAAAAUCAGCUCUACUAAUAUUUUUGAUAGUACCUCUACCUGCUGAAUAUUAACCUCAAAUUCUUUAGUUUUUUCAAAAUAUACCAAGAAAAGGGGUGCCUGGGUGGCUCAGUCAGUGGAAUAGGCUCAGGUCAUGAUCUCAUGAGUUUGAGUCCUGGGUAAGGCUCUGUGCGGACAGCUUAGAGCCCGGAGUCUGCUUUAGAUUCUGUGUCUCCCUCUCUCUGCCCCUCCCAUGCUUGCACGCUCUCUCUCUCUCUCUCUCUCUCUCAAAAAUAAAUAAAAUAGGGGCGCCUGGGUGGCGCAGUCGGUUAAGCGUCCGACUUCAGCCAGGUCACGAUCUCGCGGUCUGGGAGUUCGAGCCCCGCGUCAGGCUCUGGGCUGAUGGCUCAGAGCCUGGAGCCUGUUUCCCAUUCUGUGUCUCCCUCUCUCUCUGCCCCUCCCCUGUUCAUGCUCUGUCUCUCUCUCUCCCAAAAAUAAAUAAACGUUGAAAAAAAUAAAUAAAUAAAUAAAA